CACGUAGGCGGAUAUUUAAGUCAGGGGUGAAAUCCCAGAGCUCAACUCUGGAACUGCCUUUGAUACUGGGUAUCUUGGGUAUGGAAGAGGUGAGUGGAAUUCCGAGUGUAGAGGUGAAAUUCGUAGAUAUUCGGAGGAACACCAGUGGCGAAGGCGGCUUACUGGUCCAUUACUGACGCUGAGGUGCGAAAGCGUGGGGAGCAAACA
rnacentral:rRNA from 1 species